GGCGGCAUAGCCAAGUGGUAAGGCCAAGGUCUGCAAAACCUUUAUUCACCGGUUCAAAUCCGGUUGCCGCCU
rfam:Bacillus akibai JCM 9157 DNA, contig:contig_57.